rnacentral:rRNA from 1 species
AGUGAACGCUGGCGGUAGGCCUAACACAUGCAAGUCGAACGGCAGCACAGUAAGAGCUUGCUCUUACGGGUGGCGAGUGGCGGACGGGUGAGGAAUACAUCGGAAUCUACUUUUUCGUGGGGGAUAACGUAGGGAAACUUACGCUAAUACCGCAUACGACCUACAGGUGAAAGCAGGGGAUCUUCGGACCUUGCGCGAUUGAAUGAGCCGAUGUCGGAUUAGCUAGUUGGCGGGGUAAAGGCCCACCAAGGCGACGAUCCGUAGCUGGUCUGAGAGGAUGAUCAGCCACACUGGAACUGAGACACGGUCCAGACUCCUACGGGAGGCAGCAGUGGGGAAUAUUGGGCAAUGGGCGCAAGCCUGAUCCAGCCAUGCCGCGUGGGUGAAGAAGGCCUUCGGGUUGUAAAGCCCUUUUAUUAGGAAAGAAAAGCAGCGGGUUAAUACCCCGCUGUUCUGACGGUACCCAAAGAGUAAGCACCGGCUAACUUCGUG